rnacentral:misc_RNA from 1 species
GUCAAGCAAUGAUCUUUAAAAACUAAACCAGAGAAUUUUCUCCAUUGUACCCAUUUCCUUUCUUUUUGUUCUUUUUUUUUAAUAUUUCAUUCUUUUAAUUCAGGGGAGGGCAGGAGGGGUUGCUUAGAUAUUAUCAGAACAGAAUCUAAAGGCUGGAUAACUUUUAAUAAUCACCCAUUGAAUUAAACUAGUCAGAAUUCGAGGUCGACUUUUCAGAUAGAACAUUUAUUUGGAAAUGGAUCAAACAAGAUCUG